AACAGUUGAGACGAUAGACAGGGAGCCAGCCAGAAACAUUUCUUAAAUCUCCGCCUUUGCCUCUUUCAAACUGUAUGCCCUAGGUGGUAUGGCAGAGUUCCAGGCCCAGCGGCUGCUCCCUGCACCUGCCCCCUCCACAUCCAAUUUCUUUGCAAUGGCCUAAAAAGCUAACCAAGCUGAAAUAGCUCAUUCCAAGGCUCUCAAACUCCGGCACCAUUAUUCAGUGUUUGCAGAGGCCUAGCCUCAUCCCUGCCACUCACCAUUUCCCAUCUGUUGGGAGCACUUGGCUGUGGUAUCUUCGAUGCUCACCGUCCCGUUGGGCUUGAGAAAUCGUGCAAUGACAUAACAAAGAAGAGAGCCCUCUCUAAGAGUUAAGAAUGCUGGCACCUGCUCUUGGAUUUCCAGUCUCCAUAACUGUGACAAAUGCAUGUUUGCUGUUCAAGCCACCUGCUCAGUGAUGUUCUGUGAUGUUCUGUGAAAGUAUCCUGAACUGAUAGAGACAGUUAUGAGCCAAGCUCAGGAGCCAAGCAGUUCGGAGGCCAGCUGGACAGUGUCAAGUGGAGACUUCUGGAAUUACGAAAAGCCAGAAUUGUCAUAAGCAGUGGGAAGUAAUGGCAGAAUGGGCAAGGACUGGCAGUGCCCAUGUUCCCUGUGUAAGCCGUUUAAUGUCUUCGGAGAUGCCUAUAGUUCUAUCCCACUCCGAGGGGCUCUUACUUUAAGAUGUGGUACCAGCCAAGAAGCAGUGAGGAAGAAGAAAUUAGGAAGAGUGAGCCGUAAGGAAGUCUAUCCUGGGGCUCUUCUUUACUGCUUUCUGAAUCUGUUUUCCACUGCAAAAUCAGACCCUUCCAUCCAGCACCCUCUGGCAACCCUUUGCAUUCCUUUCUCUCUUUCUCACGCCCCGUAGAACCUGGAGUUACUCUCUUACACCACCAGGUGGCAACCAUGCUUCGGGGAGUCAAAACCUAGAGGUAAUUAAUCACUGGAGCACAACUCUGGGUAGGUAAGCAGGUUGUACUUACAUUAUCUCAUUUAAACUUCUCGACACUCAAAGAAGUAAAUGCUACUAUUAUCUGUAAUUUACAGAGCAGAUAUCUUAGACUCCACAACCUUUUAACUAAUGUCACUCAUCCAAUCGGUGGCUCUCUGAAUACACUUUCUUGUGGAUCCCUCUAGGAGCUGAAUAAUGACUCUUUUGAAGUUGGACAGAGGCAAUGCUCUCAAGGCAAGUGCUUUACCAAGAGAGCCCUUCCUCUACCUUGUCUGUCAAAAUGUUUUACAGUCAGUUGGAUUGAACCCUCAAAGCCACUUUAUAGAUUAUACACUGUUAGCAUCCCACCGUUAGCAUCACUGUAAACACUCCAUAGGCAAGUUUGCUAAGGUACAGAGCUGCUGUUUACUUAUGUCUGACUGGGUGACAGCCCUAAGGCCAAGAGCAGAAAUGAUCUGAGCUUCCUAGGUGCUUUGCCUAAGAUUCAAAGUGGCAAUGAGGGAGAUCUAUAUCCUUGGCAUCUUGUAAAGAUGGCAGGAUAUCUCAGGAAGAGUGAGAUAAACCCAAGAGACUCCCCAAGUUCUUUCAAGCAGGAAGAACUGAAAAUUUUGACCCCAAAUCCUAGGUUUGGUCCUAUUUCAGGGACCAAGUUGACAGUUGCCUCAGAUGUCUGGGGUUGCUUGUUUUAUCCACAAAACAACCGAGUAGACCCCAUCUGGAGGCUGCAGACCCCUCAUGCUCACAGAGCAGCACAGCAAUGAGCAGUGAGGGUCAGGCAGGGACGGUGGCAAGCGGUUGAGCUAAUGCCCAUUGUAAGAAGCAGUUAUAGCUUAUGACUACCACACUGGGGAUUGUUGCUAAUCCCCUGAUCUGCCACAAGUUACCGAAAUCCAAAGUUUUAUUCAGUAUCUAUUUAGGGAAAUGUUAGCAAUGAUUUAAGUUUUAACAACAAUCCAGAAACUGAUUAAACAUACAUGCAGGGGGAGGUGGAAGGAAGGGCAGCAGAUUUGAUAAGCAAGCUCCUGUUGACUGUGUUUGGGGAUAUCUUUGGCCCCAUCUAUUUCUGAGGUCUUCUUGCUCUUUGAGAAUUAAGAGGCAUGGCAUCAGCUAAGUAGCCCCAAGGAAGGAAAAUGGAUUAAGAAGAAGAGAGACCUGUAGGGAAGGUGUCUCUGGAACUCUUUGUAGGGCAGUAAACCCCAUAAGCAGCUCAUGUUUGUUCACUCCCAGAGCCUCCUGGGAACUUUGCGAGAUGGUCAGAUUCAUCUGAACCUUGCUGUUUCUGGUACUUACACAGCCUAUGCACACACCAAAGUUUGAAAACUG
ensembl:antisense 4933432K03Rik RIKEN cDNA 4933432K03 gene